GACGAACCGUGCGAACGUUUGUUCGGAAUCACUGGGCGUAAAGGGUGCGUAGGCGGGUCUUUAAGUCAGGGGUGAAAUCCCUGGAGCUCAACUCCAGAACUGCCUUUGAUACUGAGGAUCUUGAGUUCGGGAGAGGUGAGUGGAACUGCGAGUGUAGAGGUGAAAUUCGUAGAUAUUCGCAAGAACACCAGUGGCGAAGGCGGCUCGCUGGGACGGUACUGACGCUGAGGCGCGAAAGCGUGGGGAGCCGAACAGG
rnacentral:rRNA from 1 species